GUUAUAACAAAUGUAAUCACAAGAGGGCAUUUUCGUAGUCCAAUGGAGUUCUCUUUGGAGAAUAGACUUAGCUUUGGAAGUCAGUGGGAAGUAAGAAUAUUAGAGGUGAGUCUUAUUUAUUAUUUGGUUGCUUAGCAACUGAACCUUCUUAGAAUUGGUAAAUUCCUAUUUUCCAAAUCUCGGCUGGUUACAAAGCCUGUUACUAUCAAGGCUAAAAAUGCUUGCCCUCAUGGAAGCGGAGGCAUAGGUUCAUGGCAUUGGCUUGAGUAAUCAGGUGAUCCAAAAACCUACCAACCCCGAAUAUUGCCAAGGACAAGAAAACAAGCUCCACUUGGUCCAAAACACAAAGCAAGUAACUCUUAAGAGGUAUUGCAAGAAUGGACUGCUUUAUGGAAGAUAGAACAAGCCUCAUUCUUAAAAUCAUAGAGAAGACUCUUUGGAGAAAUACUGCUUGACUGACUCCCUUCUGAACUCCGAAUGAAAAGGCCAAUGAUUGAUUAGGCAGAACUUUCAUGAGAUUAUCUGAUCAUCUGCACAUGCAUUACAGUGCAUCACUAUAAGGCUUGCAUUGCAGAUUAGAAGUGGGAUUUUGGAACAAGGCAGGAAUAGGCUCUGAAGGGAAGGCUAAUUUGCAUGAGCAAUUGGAUCACCCUUCAGAAUGUCAAAUGUUUAUCCCUGCAUGUCUCUCGGUCCACACCUAUAAAGCAAGAAGGUCAUUGUGGCUUGAAGGGAGUAAAGCAAGAGAAGGAGGGGGAGACUUUUUAGCUGAGUCCACUGUGUCCAGUAUUUGUUCUGGCCAAGGCCUAUUAGAUGUGAUAAAUUCUCUGGAUUCAGUUAGUUUAUGAAACAGAUCAAACGUACAUUUGUUUUCAGAUAAUUUGAAAACAAAAGUCAAACAAAGAGCUGUAAUUGUUCAACUCCUUAGCUAAUCUCUGGGCCUUCAAACCUACAUUAACGAUGAGAAGCCUGCUUAAUUAGUACCAUCUCCCAAAUGAGACAUCCUUUCCAAUUCUCCUCUCUAUGGCCGUGAAGGACAGUGGACCAGGGAAGUCUUCCUGAGAGCAGACCUGGGGCAGGCUGACUGGCUAAACAAAUGAAUUAUUCCACUACCAAGAGGAAGAAAGGAAAAGUUUUUAUUCGUGCUUGAUUCUCUUUGCACUGCUGCUGGAGUGGUGGUGGCAUGGAGUAAGAGAUCCCCAGGGAGACAUUCAGGAAUCGAUGAUCAAGGUCAUGUGGACCAGGAG
rnacentral:lncRNA from 1 species